UAAUUGCAGUUUUGACAUAGGAAAGGUCU
rnacentral:piRNA from 1 species